rnacentral:rRNA from 1 species
UACAGAGGGUGCAAGCGUUAAUCGGAAUUACUGGGCGUAAAGGGCGCGUAGGUUGCUAAUUAAGUUGGAUGUGAAAUGUUUGGGCUUAACCUGAAACGGCCAUCCAAUACUGGUUAGCUAGAGUACAGUAGAGGGAAGGGGAAUUUCCGGUGUAGCGGUGAAAUGCGUAGAUAUCGGAAGGAACAUCAGUGGCGAAGGCGCCUUCCUGGACUGAUACUGACACUGAGGCGCGACAGCGUGGGGAGCGAACAGG